rnacentral:rRNA from 1 species
GAUGAACGCUGACAGAAUGCUUAACACAUGCAAGUCAACUUGAACUUCGGUUUGGGUGGCGGACGGGUGAGUAACGCGUAAAGAACUUGCCUCACAGAUAGGGACAACAUUUGGAAACGAAUGCUAAUACCUGAUAUUAUGAUUUUAGGGCAUCCUAGGAUUAUGAAAGCUAUAUGCGCUGUGAGAGAGCUUUGCGUCCCAUUAGCUAGUUGGAGAGGUAACGGCUCACCAAGGCGAUGAUGGGUAGCCGGCCUGAGAGGGUGAUCGGCCACAAGGGGACUGAGACACGGCCCUUACUCCUACGGGAGGCAGCAGUGGGGAAUAUUGGACAAUGGACCAAGAGUCUGAUCCAGCAAUUCUGUGUGCACGAUGAAGUUUUUCGGAAUGUAAAGUGCUUUCAGUUGGGAAGAAAAAAAUGACGGACCAACAGAAGAA